GGGGACCUUCGGGCCUCUUGCCAUCGGAUGUGCCCAGAUGGGAUUAGCUAGUAGGUGGGGUAACGGCUCACCUAGGCGACGAUCCCUAGCUGGUCUGAGAGGAUGAUCAGCCACACUGGAACUGAGACACGGUCCAGACUCCUACGGGAGGCAGCAGUGGGGAAUAUUGCACAAUGGGCGCAAGCCUGAUGCAGCCAUGCCGCGUGUAUGAAGAAGGCCUUCGGGUUGUAAAGUACUUUCAGCGGGGAGGAAGGGAGUAAAGUUAAUACCUUUGCUCAUUGACGUUACCCGCAGAAGAAGCACCGGCUAACUCCGUGCCAGCAGCCGCGGUAAUACGGAGGGUGCAAGCG
rnacentral:rRNA from 1 species